UGGAGAACUCUGGGGGAG
rnacentral:piRNA from 1 species